rnacentral:lncRNA from 1 species
GUGUUUUACAUGUCUGAGAAUUUCAUAAAUAUGAUGUGGCAAAGAACUCUCUUCCUUGGGGACAUUCUCCGUCGUGGGUACAGCUUCAUCUUCACUGUAAGUCAAAAUACAGAACCAGAUCUUCAAUUCAAAUGCUUUUCUGAUUCAGACAACUAAUUUUUAAACACAUCACCAUUUAGAUGCCUGUAUCAUCAUGUUAUGAUCUAAAAUUCAAAUUCCACAACUUCAUUACUGUUUUCAGUAUUAAAUCUUCUGAAAAAUUAUUUGUUAAUAGCAAAAGAAUCUCGUAAGAUAUGAUAUCUAGUACUUCUUUGGCUCAUUUGUUGGGAUAGGAACCUGAAACUUUUUGAAUCCAAGUCUAUGACCAUGGAUGGAGAUCAGUUUGGUUCCUCUUGGAUCACCUUGAUCAAGGAAUGUUAUUGAGAAAUGGUUUUCAGACUAGAGUACUAAGUUGGCUGGCUAUCUCCUAUCCAUUCACUAUGAUGUUUCUUUUGUUCCUCUUCCCUGACCCCUGUUGGGACAUCUUUUAUUUGUUUUCUUUACUUCUUUUUUGUUGUAAUUUUUCAUCAUCUUAAUAAAUGGAUGAUGGGGCUCCCAUUCUUUACACACACACACACAUGUAUAUAUAUAUGUAUAUAUAUGUAUGUAUAUGUAUGUAUAUGUAUGUAGAUGUAUGUAUAUGUAUAUGUAUGUAUAUGUAUGUAUAUGUAUGUGUAUAUGUGUGUGUAUAUAUAUAUAUGUAUGUAUGUAUGUAUGUGUGUGUGUGUAUAUGUAUGUAUGUAUGUAUGUAUGUAUGUAUGUAUAUGUAUGUAUGUAUGUAUGUAUGUAUGUAUGUAUGUAUAUGUAUGUAUGUAUGCAUAUGUAUGUAUGCAUGUAUGUAUGGAUAUAUGUAUGCAUGUAUGUAUGGAUAUAUGUAUGCAUGUAUGUAUGGAUAUAUGUAUGCAUGUAUGUAUGUAUCUGUGUAUCUCUGUAUAUGUGUAUAUGUAUACAUGUAUAAGAAUCUAUGAACUGAUUAGUAAGCAAUGACAAGUAAAAAGUUCAACGUGAAAGCAGCAUGGACUCUGUCCAUAGCCACUGAGAUUCACUUAUUUUGGUUGUCAUAUUAGUACGUAUUUUAUGUUAUAUAAUUUUGUAGAGUAUAAGAAAUGAAAACUUGCAAUUCACUAGAAAUUGCUAAAUUUCAACCUAACAUUUCUUUUGUGAAAAAGUUAAAUAUUAUUAUAUUUUUGAAAGCAUUCUCAAUUAAUCCUGUUUUAUCAAAGUAAUCAAAAUCAAUAUCAAAGUUUUAAUCAACCAAAUUGAAUGAUCAAAAUAUUCUACAACCUAAUAGUAAUAGCUGAUUGUUCAUUGGGUCAAAUUUAGAUCGGCAAACACCUUACAAGUCACUCCUUCAUAGUCAAAAAAAAUCACCCUCCCAAAACAACAAACAGGUGUGAAAGAGCUUCUUACCUUUCCUUUCUGCUAUCAGGAUAUGGACGUGAUGUGGCUGAGAAACCCAUUUGCCAAGUUAAGUUAUGAUGGAGAGGACAUGCAAAUAAGCUGUGACUUUUACAAUGGCCGGCCAUUGGAUGAUUCCAAUUUCAUUAACACUGGCUUCUACUUUGUGGCAUCAAACAACAGAACCAUUGCACUAUUUGAUGAAUGGCAUGCAUCAAGGAACAACUCUGCAGGCAUGAAAGAACAAGAUGUACUGGCUCGGAUGAAAUCUCAUGGUGUAUUUAGGCAGUUGGGCAUGAAAGUGAGAUUCUUAGACACAGCAUACUUUAGUGGGUUCUGUCAAGAUAGCAAGGAUUUCAGCAAAGUGACCACAGUGCAUGCAAAUUGUUGCUGUAGUGUGAAAGCCAAGCUCAUUGAUCUGAAAGCUGUCCUUGAAGCCUGGAAGACAUUUAAUGGCACAUCGAGAGUCACAUGGCCUGAACGCAAGGCAUGCACAGGGAAGGUGAGCAUUAAAAAAAAUCAUUUUCCAUGAAUCAACAUGUAAUAUAGGCACUUCAAGGAAAUUUCAGCAUAUAUUUUAUAGCUAAACAUCUUAAAAAUUCACAUUAUUGCAAGUUAGAGAUUUUCAAAUAAAAAUGAUGUCAGCUUCUCUGAGCUCAUGUCCCUUAAUGUUUUUUGUGGUCAGACAAAUGCUGCCCGCAAAGAUAAGCUCGAAACAGCUUUACAGGAAGCUUCCAUGGCAAACAAGACCCUGAUAAUUGCCAUAAUAAACAAGAAAUAUGUGGAGAAGAAUGGCAUGCUAGACCUCUUCCUUCAAAGUUUACAAGAAGGGGAGGGCACCAAGUACUUGAUCAGACAUCUCCUUCUUGUGGCAGUGGAUCAGACAGCCUUCAACCGGUGCCAGCUCCUAAAACUCCACUGCUACCAACUUG